rnacentral:lncRNA from 1 species
GGCUCCAGGAUUGGGGGUACAGGACAGAGGGAAGGCAGCCAGGCCGCAGACAGGAAAGGAGGGUUCUCUAGGCAAACAGCUGAGGCGCCUACGGGAAGCCAGGCUUGCCGAGAACCAGAGGCCGGGGCCCACCAGGCGCCAGAUCUGCACCAGGGAUGCUCAAGGAGACACUGGCUGGUGACACGCUUUCUGAGCAGCCCUUAAAUUGAGCAUCACAACGGGCCUGACGUAUCUGCUGAACUGACUCAAAGACCUGAGAUGUGAUACGACAACCGAGGGCAAUCAUCCGUGCCAGAUGGGUAGUGUUUAUGCCAGGUUAGCCGUGCACUGGGAAGACGGGGCCAGGAGAUGGAUUCAAUUAGAAGCGUGUCCUCCGAUUUCUUCCUUCAAAGUCCCACCCUUCCUUCGGUCUCC